rnacentral:siRNA from 1 species
UAUCAGAGCCAAACCCAAACGAGU